UGAUGAUUCAGACUCCCUCCUACUCCUUUU
rnacentral:piRNA from 1 species